rnacentral:rRNA from 1 species
AGUGAACGCUGGCGGUAGGCCUAACACAUGCAAGUCGAACGGCAGCACAGUAAGAGCUUGCUCUUACGGGUGGCGAGUGGCGGACGGGUGAGGAAUACAUCGGAAUCUACUUUUUCGGGGGGGAUAACGUAGGGAAACUUACGCUAAUACCGCAUACGACCUACGGGUGAAAGCAGGGGAUCUUCGGACCUUGCGCGAUUGAAGGAGCCGAUGUCGGAUUAGCUAGUUGGCGGGGUAAAGGCCCACCAAGGCGACGAUCCGUAGCUGGUCUGAGAGGAUGAUCAGCCACACUGGAACUGAGACACGGUCCAGACUCCUACGGGAGGCAGCAGUGGGGAAUAUUGGACAAUGGGCGCAAGCCUGAUCCAGCCAUACCGCGUGGGUGAAGAAGGCCUUCGGGUUGUAAAGCCCUUUUGUUGGGAAAGAAAAGCAGCAGGUUAAUACCCCGCUGUUCUGACGGUACCCAAAGAAUAAGCACCGGCUAACUUCGUG